ensembl:snoRNA
AUGAGCCUGCACAUGAUGAAAACUAUGUUGGUAGGGACAUCUGAGAAGCUGAUGAAUGCCAACAUAGCUGAGCUGGACAU